UUCUAAAGGGUUUCUCAAAAAAAUAUUUAAAAGGUAACUUAUUUAAUAUGCAUAAACCAGUUUUCUAAUCUCUAGCCACACCGAGGCAUUAAGACAAUAAAGAAAUAACUGCCAUUCUAGAGCUUUUGGUCUGUCUUUAUGGGAAAAUACAGUGACUAUAUAAACCACUUCUGAGAAAAUAACACAUUUCUGAGAAUUCAUGUAUGCAAAGCGCAGACAACCUUCUGGUGGCGCUUGCCUGUAAGCAUGAGCAGACAGGAAAUAGAGGUCAGAGGUUUCUUUGAUGAUGAGGGUGUCUAAGGUGGAAACAUCAAAACAAACACAGACACAUUUCUCCAUCAGAGGGCUUCUGUUGAUGAUGAGACACAGGAAAACCAAUGAUGUUUCACAGUUGCUGGUUCCAGGUGGAAACGACUUCUUGAAUCUGACGGAAUGACCUGUUGGUUGAUAAAUUAACUUCAUUUAACCUGGAAAACUGAGCUUCUACAACUGUGAACAAAAAUUAAGAUGUAUUAAGUGUAUGUGUGUGCGUGUGUGUGUUUUCAAUUUUUAAGAUCCUUUUCAGUUCUAACA